rnacentral:rRNA from 1 species
AACGAACGCUGGCGGCGUGCCUAACACAUGCAAGUCGAGCGCGAGGACGACCUUCGGGUCGUUAGUAGAGCGGCGCACGGGUGAGUAACACGUGGGUAAUCUACCCUUAGGACCAGGAUAACCCAGGGAAACUUGGGCUAAUACUGGAUAAGACCACGCCACGAGAGUGGUGUGGGAAAAGCGGAGGACCUCUUCGGAGGCUUCGUACCUUUGGAUGAGCCCGCGGCCCAUCAGGUAGUUGGCGGGGUAACGGCCCACCAAGCCGAAGACGGGUAGCUGGUCUGAGAGGAUGAUCAGCCACACUGGAACUGAGACACGGUCCAGACUCCUACGGGAGGCAGCAGUGGGGAAUCUUGCGCAAUGGGCGAUAGCCUGACGCAGCAACGCCGCGUGAGUGAUGAAGGUCUUCGGAUCGUAAAGCUCUGUCGACAGGAAAGAUGGAGAACGUGGCCAAUAUCCACGGGCUCUGACGGUACCUGUAAAGGAAGCACCGGCUAACUCUGUGCCAGCCGCCGCAGUAACAC